CCCAGGUAGAAUGGUGCUGGUGGCAGGGGAAGAGCAAAACUGUAGAAACAGUGCUUAGGUGACCCAAACACAGAACAGGUGGGAACGUGAAAGCAAAUUGGGGAGCCAUGGACAACUCUUUAAGUAGGCUAGGUGCUGGGUGACCAGAGAGAAGAGAGGGACAUGCAGGGGAGCAGAGGUGUGGCUGUUCUCUAUCAGCAGUCAGAGGUGCUAUGUGCCUUGGCUUGAGACUAAGGCCAUUCUGGACAGGUCUAGUUCUUUGUAGUUCUGCAACUUCAGGCAUUUAGUGGACCAGUCCAUGUAUCUCUUAGUUUAAAAACAAGUCUUACCUUGGCAAAUGACCACAAAGGCUUUGCUUGUCAGUGCGUGGACUUUUUAGAGAUUGAAACCUUCCUUUAAACAGUCAAGAAACCAUGUUUCUUGGAAGAUGGGAUAGUGUAAGAGUUAGAAUCAGACUUGGAUUUGGAUCCUGGAUCUGUCACUCCCUUCCAAUGUCAUUGCGUAUGCCAAGAAUGCCUGUCUGUGGGGCUGCUGCUUCAGGGUAGGCUGUCAUACUGUAGAAAGACAAUCGCUUAGCUUCAUUACCCGAGAUUGCAUGCUCUUCAUCCCAUGGACACCACCAAAAGGAUGGCUUAUGCCUUGCCUGGUAAAUAGUUAAAGACACGCGGAGCAAAAGGAAUUUAGUGGAGAAAAGGGUUUAUGUGGCUCCCAGUUCCAGGCUACAGUUCAUAAUUGCAGAGAAGUCAUUGAAACCGGAGAUCAGGAGACAGCCAAUCAUAUCAUAUGAAUCGCCAAGAAUAGAGAGACUCGAUGAACUCAGCUGCCUGCUGCUGCUCCUACUCAGCUUGCUUCCUUUAUUCUUCUGCAGGUAGUGGAGGAUGGACUUCAUCAUCAGGAUAUUGGAGCAGAUAUGUGUGGAAGACCAUCGUUGUCGGGCAGAGACAGCAAACUGAAGUGCAGACUGGAUGGCAUAUUCCCAACCACCUAAUGAAUCUACUCCCUCCCAAUUGGGAUCUCUGGUGCAUUUACUCAUCUUCAACCAGUGUAAUUAAAGAUGAAAAGUGUAACACUGAUGUAUCCUUCUCUGGGGAGGGAGUUGUUUUAAUUGUAGACCCAUCAGUGGAAAAUGAACUAUGUUGGAGAAAGA